rnacentral:lncRNA from 1 species
AGUAGCUGCUGUGGGAGCCGAGAGAGGGAAUGAAGAAGGAAACCAGGAACCUUUUAUGAAUAAGGCCCUUUGUAAAUAUUCUGCCCGGAGUUCCUCCCACUACCUCAACAUUAAAAUAGAUGAAGAAUUCGAAAACCAAGAAGUUCAGACGUUAGGAUUCAGGGUUGGAAUAUCACCAGUCUUAACUGGAGAGGGCAAGACUAGCAGUUUUUGCAAGACCAAGACCGAUAAUUGUGACACGGGAGAUCAAAUAUGGUGUACCCUUCUACUCGGAAGUCAGAGUUGGUGCCACCUAAGUGGGUUCCUGAUGCAGGGGAUUUGAGGACAUCCUCUUCCUUCAACUUCUGAACUCUUCUUGUUGCAAGAAACCGAAACCCAGUUCAAAGUGACUUAAGCAAAAGGAUUUCCCAGGGAAGAAGUUAACUUCAAGCCUAUGGCUGUAUGGAAUUCCCUUGUGGUGCAUUGGGUUAAGAAUCCAACAUUAUCGCUGCUGCAGUUUGGG